rnacentral:misc_RNA from 1 species
CCUGAACCAUCCCCUGCCGCUCCUGGAGCUCGACGUGCUCCGCACCUUUGUUGCGAUUGCUGAAACCGGCAGCUUUACAGCGGCGUCAAACGCGGUUUUCCGUACGCCUUCGGCGGUGUCGAUGC